AAAUGAUGAAAUGAUGAGAUGAGAUAAAAUGAGAUGAAAUGAUGAGAUGAGAUGAAAUAUGAUGAGAUGAAAUGACAUAAUGAAUGAAAUGAUGAAAUGGAAUAAUGAAAUGGAAAUGAUGAGCUGAGAUGCAAUGAGUUGAAAUGAGAUGAAAUGAUGAAAUGAGAUGAAAUGAUGAGAUGAGAUGUGAUGAAAUGAUGACAUGAAAUGAUGACAUAAAAUGAGAUGAAAUGAGAUGUAAUGAUGGAAUGAGAUGAGAUGAAAUGAGAUGAAAUAGAUGAGAUAAAAUGAUGAUAUGAAAUGAUGAGAUGAAUGAUGAGAUGAGAUGAAUGAUGAAAUGAAAUGAUGAGAUGAGAUGAUGAAAUGAAAUGGUGAGAUGAAAUGAUGAGAUGAAAUGAAAUAGUGAAAUGAAAUUGAAAUAAAAUCGAAAUGAGAUGAAAUGAUGAGAUGAUGAAAUAAAAUGAUGAAAUGAUGAGAUGUGAUGAGAUGAAAUGAUGAGAUGAAAUGAUGAGAUGAGAUGACAUGAAAUAAUGAAAUGAAAUUGAAAUGAGAUAAGAUACGAGAUGAGAUGAAAUGAUGAGAUGAAAUGAUGAAAUGAUGAGAUAAGAUGAAAAGGGUUGAGAUGAUGAGAUGAAAUGAGAUGAAAAGAUGAAAUGAUGAGAUGAAAUGAAAUGAUGAGAUGAAAUGAAAUUAGAUGAAAUGUAAUGAGAUGAAAUGAAAUGACAUAAUGAAAUGAAAUAAUGAAAUGAGAUGAAAUAAAAUAAUGAAAUGAUGAAAUAAUGAAAAUGAAAUGGAAAUGAUGAGAUAAGAAAUGAUGAGAUGAAAUGAUGAAAUGAGAUGAGAUAAAAUGAGAUGAAAUGAUGAGAUGAGAUGAAAUAUGAGAUGAAAUGACAUAAUGAAUGAAAUGAUGAAACGGAAUAAUGAAAUGGAAAUGAUGAGCUGAGAUGCAAUGAGUUGAAAUGAGAUGAAAUGAUGAAAUGAUGAGAUGAAAUGAUGAGAUGAGAUGUGAUGAAAUGAUGACAUGAAAUGAUGACAUAAAAUGAGAUGAAAUGAGAUGUAAUGAUGGAAUGAGAUGAGAUGAAAUGAGAUGAAAUGAUAGAUGAGAUAAAAUGAUGAUAUGAAAUGAGAUGAAUGAUGAGAUGAUGAGAUGAAUGAUGAAAUGAAAUGAUGAGAUGAGAUGAUGAAAUGAAAUGGUGAGAUGAAAUGAUGAGAUGAAAUGAAAUAGUGAAAUGAAAUUGAAAUAAAAUCGAGAUGAGAUGAAAUGAUGAGAUGAUGAAAUAAAAUGAUGAAAUGAUGAGGUGAUGAGAUGAAAUGAUGAGAUGAAAUGAUGAGAUGAGAUGAGAUGACAUGAAAUAAUGAAACGAAAUUGAAAUGAGAUAAGAUACGAGAUGAGAUGAAAUGAUGAGAUGAAAUGAAAUGAUGAGAUAAGAUGAAAAGAGUUGAUGAGAUGAUGAGAUGAAAUGAGAUGAAAAGAUGAAAUGAUGAGAUGAAAUGAAAUGAUGAGAUGAAAUGAGGUGAAAUGAAAUUAGAUGAAAUGUAAUGAGAUGAAAUGAAAUGACAAUGAAAUGAAAAAAUGAAAUAAUGAAAUGAGGUGAAAUUAAAUGAGAUGAUGAAAUUAAAUGAUGAAAUGAAAUAAUGAAAUGGAA
rnacentral:lncRNA from 1 species